UAAAAACUCACAAACGAGAGAUUUUAAUUCUCCUCCCUAAAUUUCCUCUCUCCUCUGUAUUUUGGAACUCACAAUCAAAGUGUAGAAACUUGGAGAGAGGAUUACAACUAGGAGAAGAAACUUACUCCAUCUUUUAAUUAUGAUUAUGUUGAGUGAUAAACUUGAAAUGUUUGAGCAGAAAGAAAGACGUCUUACUACUAAAGUGUAAGUUUUCCUUUCACAUACUCACAUAUUUAAUUCAAAAAUAAAUUAUGUGUAAUGAUGGUCUAUAAAAUUAGUGUUUUAUACUAUCAAAUAACUAUAUAUCAUGCAGAUUAAUUUACCAAAUAAUUUAAUAUUGAAAAUGAGCAUUAAAUAGAGGGUUAAAUGGUACCAAAAUUAAGUAUGAGUUUAUAUAUUUUAGACUAGUAGAUUGUUAUUGGAUGAUGUAUUUCACGAGUCAUCUCUACACGUACAGUUUACUCUCAUGUAAUUAAUCUUCUCUUUAUUUCUUGACAUCAUCGAUCUGUGUUUCCCAAAUUAAAGCAUAGGCCAUGAACAGGUUACCAAAGACCAAAGUCGAUCGCGAUGAGUGACAGCUGACCAAUCUCACUCCUAGUUCAUCGCGCAGUCGCGCUGCUGAUGACAAAUUACCAUGGGCACUUGGGAAAAGUAUCCCAAGUUGAUCAUGUCCUUGCCCGAAUGCCCGUUCUCAUCAUUUCCUUCUUUUUUGCUUUUGCUUUUGUGCUUGUUUUUUGUUUUCGUUUUUAUUUGUACCUUUUUACCCUACAAUUACUUUUUAAUAUAUAUAUAUAUAUAUAUGUAUUUUUCAUGCAUGUUUUGAAUUCUAUACUCUUUUCUUUUGUAUUUUCAGCGUGUUCAUGUUAAUUUUAUGCUUUAAUGAAUAAUAAUCAUACAUUGUUUGUAAGACCCCAA
rnacentral:lncRNA from 1 species